GACAAACCGAGUGAACGUUUUUCGGAAUCACUGGGCUUAAAGGGCUCGUAGGCGGGCUGUCAAGUCUAGAGUGUAAUCCCUCGCCUCAACCGUGGACCUGCCCCAGAUACUGAGGGCCUCUAGGGAGGUAGGGGCGAGCGGAACGGGUGGUGGAGCGGUGAAAUGCGUUGAUAUCACUCGGAACUCCGGUGGCGAAAGUGGCUCGCUGUUCCUUUUCUGACGCUGGGGAGCGAAAGCUGGUGGAGCAACCGGG
rnacentral:rRNA from 1 species